GACGAACGCUGGCGGCAGGCUUAACACAUGCAAGUCGAGCGGACCUUUCGGGGUCAGCGGCGGACGGGUGAGUAACGCGUGGGAAUAUGCCCUUCUCUACGGAAUAGUCCUGGGAAACUGGGGGUAAUACCGUAUACGCCCUUUGGGGGAAAGAUUUAUCGGGGAAGGAUUAGCCCGCGUUGGAUUAGGUAGUUGGUGGGGUAAUGGCCUACCAAGCCGACGAUCCAUAGCUGGUUUGAGAGGAUGAUCAGCCACACUGGGACUGAGACACGGCCCAGACUCCUACGGGAGGCAGCAGUGGGGAAUCUUAGACAAUGGGGGCAACCCUGAUCUAGCCAUGCCGCGUGAGUGAUGAAGGCCUUAGGGUUGUAAAGCUCUUUCAGCUGGGAAGAUAAUGACGGUACCAGCAGAAGAAGCCCCGGCUAACUCCGUG
rnacentral:rRNA from 1 species